rnacentral:rRNA from 1 species
UGGGGAAUCUUGCACAAUGGGGGAAACCCUGAUGCAGCGACGCCGCGUGAGCGAUGAAGCCCUUCGGGGUGUAAAGCUCUUUCGACGGGAACGAUAAUGACGGUACCCGGAGAAGAAGCUGCGGCUAACUACGUGCCAGCAGCCGCGGUAAUACGUAGGCAGCAAACGUUGUUCGGAAUUACUGGGCGUAAAGAGUGUGUAGGCGGUUAGGUAAGUUUGGUGUGAAAUCUCCCGGCUUAACUGGGAGGGUGCGCCGAAAACUGCCUGGCUUGAGUACUGGAGAGGAUAGCGGAAUUCCUGGUGUAGCGGUGAAAUGCGUAGAUAUCAGGAGGAACACCUGCGGUGUAGACGGCUAUCUGGACAGUAACUGACGCUGAGACACGAAAGCGUGGGGAGCAAACA